GGGACGAUAUUAUAUUAUAUUAUUAGCUGGGCUGGUUGUUUUUUACUUUAGAUUGCUAGCUGGUUUAUUGUAGUUGUAAGUCAUCGGAGUAUCUUUCGAAAUUAUUGUAACCGGACUUUCGAACUGCUUUAAAAAUAUUUUUCGUAACAAUGUUACUUGAUAUGAUAUAUAGAUCUAAAUUAUUAGACAUUUGUUUUAAAAAAAAAUUAUAUAAAUAUUUGGUAAUUGUUUUUUAAGAAGUAUAUGCUACAAUAAAAAUUAUAGUGUGGCAAAUUUGAAUUGAAAAUUAUUUGAGAAAUUCUACUCCAAAAAAAGUGACAAAUUUCAAUGGAAAAUUAAUCGAUGAAUUUUUUAUUACAAAAAAAAGAAAUAGAAUAAGUGCAGAGUCAAACAUAAUAAUAAUAUGAGAUAUAAAAGAAGAAGGAGUGAAGAUGCAGGAUUGAUAAUAAAGACAGAAGGAGCAAGUUUGUAGACUCGAAGAUGGAGUGACGACCUUUACAUAGGCUCGUAUCUCCUCCAGCUUCUCCACCACCCUCAGCUCCUCCUUCUUCUCGCACACUUCAGGUUUUUGACCGCAGACAAGACAAGAUACUGAGUAAAGUUAAGAGAAAGAAAGAGAGAAAGAUCUUAACAACGCGGAUAAGAGCAAGAGAGUUUAACUGACACUUGAUGAUACGCAAGUCGUGUCGAGGUCAUGGCAGUCAGUCGACUAGAUCUCACCAGAUGCCUAUGCCAUUGUCAUUCACUUGCAUUGUUACCUUUUUUUUUAUUUACAAUCACUCUAAUGUAAUAUAAUAAAACAACAUUGCAGUAUCCGUGAGAAUGUAGAUCAUAAAUACAUACAUAGAUAAAAAAAAAAUUUAUCAUUGGCUCAAUUAUUUUUAAAAAUAAAAAAUAUAUACGUGAACUAAAUCUCCGGUCAGUGUAUUUUAUUACCACGCAAUAAAAUAAAACAUAAUUACAUUGACAGCAAAUUGUUGACGUUCUGUGAGAACAUGAUAAAUUUGUCCCGUAUUUUUUCAAUUUUUUUUUACUCCAAUGUAAAAAUACACGGAAAAAAAUUAUGCUCAAAAUUUUAAUAGUUUGUAGUUUAUUUUUGACUUGAAAUUAGUAUAUUUGUAUAUUAAUAUCAAACCAGGAUCAUUAUAUAUUACAAAAUGGCUAUUAUUUUUAUUAAAAUUUGAUAGACAUAGA